rnacentral:rRNA from 1 species
ACGAACGCUGGCGGCAGGCCUAACACAUGCAAGUCGAACGCCCGUAGCAAUACGAGAGUGGCAGACGGGUGAGUAACACGUGGGAACCUUCCCUAUGGCUCGGAAUAGCUCAGGGAAACUCGAGGUAAUACCGGAUAAGCCCUUACGGGGAAAGAUUUAUCGCCAUUGGAUGGGCCCGCGUCGGAUUAGCUAGUUGGUGAGGUAACGGCUCACCAAGGCGACGAUCCGUAGCUGGUCUGAGAGGAUGAUCAGCCACACUGGGACGGAGACACGGCCCAGACUCCUACGGGAGGCAGCAGUGGGGAAUAUUGGACAAUGGGCGCAAGCCUGAUCCAGCCAUGCCGCGUGAGUGACGAAGGCCUUAGGGUUGUAAAGCUCUUUUAGCGGGGAAGAUAAUGACGGUACCCGCAGAAUAAGCUCCGGCUAACUUCGU